rnacentral:rRNA from 1 species
GACGAACGCUGGCGGCGUGCCUAAUACAUGCAAGUUGAGCGCUGAAGGUUGGUACUUGUACCGACUGGAUGAGCAGCGAACGGGUGAGUAACGCGUGGGGAAUCUGCCUUUGAGCGGGGGACAACAUUUGGAAACGAAUGCUAAUACCGCAUAAAAACUUUAAACACAAGUUUUAAGUUUGAAAGAUGCAAUUGCAUCACUCAAAGAUGAUCCCGCGUUGUAUUAGCUAGUUGGUGAGGUAAAGGCUCACCAAGGCGAUGAUACAUAGCCGACCUGAGAGGGUGAUCGGCCACAUUGGGACUGAGACACGGCCCAAACUCCUACGGGAGGCAGCAGUAGGGAAUCUUCGGCAAUGGACGAAAGUCUGACCGAGCAGCGCCGCGUGAGUGAAGAAGGUUUUCGGAUCGUAAAACUCUGUUGGUAGAGAAGAACGUUGGUGAGAGCGGAAAGCUCAUCAAGUGACGGUAACUACCCAGAAAGGGACGGCUAACUACGUG